AGUGAACGCUGGCGGUAGGCCUAACACAUGCAAGUCGAACGGCAGCACAGUAAGAGCUUGCUCUUGCGGGUGGCGAGUGGCGGACGGGUGAGGAAUACAUCGGAAUCUACUUUUUGUGGGGGGUAAAGGAGGGGAAACUACGCCUAUUCCGCAAACCAACUACGGGGGAAAGCCAGGGAAUUUCGGACCUUUCGCGAUUGAAUGAGCCGAUGUCGGAUUAGCUAGUUGGCGGGGUAAAGGCCCACCAAGGCGACGAUCCGUAGCUGGUCUGAGAGGAUGAUCAGCCACACUGGAACUGAGACACGGUCCAGACUCCUACGGGAGGCAGCAGUGGGGAAUAUUGGACAAUGGGCGCAAGCCUGAUCCAGCCAUACCGCGUGGGUGAAGAAGGCCUUCGGGUUGUAAAGCCCUUUUGUUGGGAAAGAAAAGCAGCAGGUUAAUACCCCGCUGUUCUGACGGUACCCAAAGAAUAAGCACCGGCUAACUUCGUG
rnacentral:rRNA from 1 species